GGUGAUAUUGUGUAUGUGGAAAAAGUUUUAGAUCUUUGAGUUCAUCUCAUACAAAAUGGGAGCAAAACCAAAAGUGUUGCAUUUAUAUUUUUGUUGAGUAUAUAUAUGUAUAUAUAUAUUGGGGGGAGUUUAAUGUGCUGUUUCCUGUUUUAUGUUUUGCUUUUGCCAUGGAAAAAUAAAGCCGUCAUUAAAAUUUGCUUUGUCCUAUUUUAUUAUUAUUGGUGGUCUGCUUCUCCCUUUUAGAGGAUCGUUUUGGGAUUAGAUAGAGGAGACGAAAAGUGCAUGUGGGAGUGGAUCCAUCAAAAGAGGUCCAGCCCUCUGAAGGAGCAAUUACCACAGUAACAGGCCCCGUGAUCAGCUGAUAAUGGCCCUGUGCUGGCUGGAGAGUCUGCAGGAGUCCUCCCUUUGACAGCACAGGACACUAAUUCAAUUAGAAAGCCAUUUGCUGUGUGUUCCGGUAGAAGAUAACGGAGUCGCAAGAGGAUGUUUGAUCUCUGUUUUCUCCAAUAUCCUAUCCGUGUCUUACUCUGUGAACACGCUGUCAGCACGCUGAUAUUUUAGUGAACUCUGCUUUGGAAAAAAUCAACUUCUUCCAUGUUGAUGGACCAAAAAUAAUUUGGAUCAAGAAAAUAUUUUUGUGUUUUUCUUUGUGGAGCAGCAAGUGCAGAAGACGUAACCCUUCUUAGAUAAAACCCAGGGGGUUCAAACCCUUUAUUAGUUUUUGUCUCCUCCUCUUCCAUGAGGGCUUAAAACACUCUAGGGAACACCAGCUUGGACUUGUGGACUGACAGCAGAGCAGCUCACUUUCCCUUCUGUUCCUGCCUCCAACAGCACACAGAGCAGCAUAAUGGGUCGAGGGGGUAACAUGGGACACCUGACCCAGCCUGGUCUCAGUCCGAAGAUCCAUCUACCUCUGGACAACGAGCCUCUGUUCAUCCGCUUCCUCCUGACAUUAAGGGAAGUCCUCAAGUUUGUUCUCUUCAGCUACACGGUGCUGUUUGGUGCUUUGCUCCUUGCUCGAUGGACGACUUAUUUCAUGGUUGCAAAGUAAAAGAAAAAAAAGAUCAAGAAUGAGCCUGUUCUGGGACUUCAGACUUGGGGGACUUAAGCAAAUGCUGGAUUUGUGCUUCACAGUUUCUAUAUGGUUAUGUCUUUAUUUCCUAGUACAUAGCUGAUGAUUUUGCUAUAUUAUGUUAUUACUUCAUGUUUGUUAAUGCAAUAGUGGAAACUGUGUCGUAAUGCUCUAAACAGCAUUUGGAGUAUAUUAGAUUGGUACAUUUAGUCGUGUUUUGUACCAAACACUGAAUGUGUUAAAAAAUUACGUGUUUAAUGUGCAUCUGUAAGCUCUAUUUCAUCCAUACAAAAUAAAUGCAACUAAAAAAAAAAUGCAUAUAUCUUGACUGGCUGAAGUGUGAAACCACAAACACUCCCACAGUGUUUUAUGUAAAUAUCAACAAUGGCAGUAUUACUU